CAUUCUCCUGCCUCAGCCUCCCGAGUAGCUGGGACUAUAGGCACCCACCACCACACCCGGCUAAUUUUUUGUAUUUUUAGUACAGAUGGGGUUUCACCAUGUUAGCCAGGAUGGUCUCGAUCUCCUAACCUUGCGAUCCGCCCGCCUUGGCCUCCAAAAGUGCUGGGAUUACAGGUGUGAGCCACCGCGCCUGGCCUGCUUGUUCAUUUUCUUAAAAGUGGAUGAUGGAGAUUCCCGAGUGAAAUGUCUGAAGACUGCUGCCUUGGGAACAGGAGCCACGGGACACUUUCUGCCUCCGGCUGCCGGCGGAUUUGGGUUUUCCCUCCUCUCAUCCUUCU
rnacentral:lncRNA from 1 species